GACGAACGCUGGCGGCGUGCUUAACACAUGCAAGUCGAACGGAAAGGCCCUGCUUUUGUGGGGUGCUCGAGUGGCGAACGGGUGAGUAACACGUGAGUAACCUGCCCUUGACUUUGGGAUAACUCCAGGAAACUGGGGCUAAUACCGGAUAGGAGCUCCUGCUGCAUGGUGGGGGUUGGAAAGUUUCGGCGGUUGGGGAUGGACUCGCGGCUGAUCAGCUUGUUGGUGGGGUAGUGGCUUACCAAGGCUUUGACGGGUAGCCGGCCUGAGAGGGUGACCGGCCACAUUGGGACUGAGAUACGGCCCAGACUCCUACGGGAGGCAGCAGUGGGGAAGAUUGAACAAUGGGCGGAAGCCUGAUGCAGCAACGCCGCGUGCGGGAUGACGGCCUUCGGGUUGUAAACCGCUUUCGCCUGUGACGAAGCGUGAGUGACGGUAAUGGGUAAAGAAGCACCGGCUAACUACGUG
rnacentral:rRNA from 1 species